CCGGCAAACUCUCACCUUUCUUCCUUGAGUUCCUUCCCUUCAUUGGGUUUCGUCGCAUCUUACGUUAAACCCAAUCAGAAUCUAAUGGGGCCUAGAUGGAAAGGAAAGGGCUUCGAGGCUAAAGCUUUAGCAGACCCCAUGUCAAAGAUAGUACUGAAGCUUCAGUUGUCUCUAACUCAAUCAAACUGUGAAGGGUUGCUAUGUGGACGCAGUGUGCUUCUCUCAGUUGAAGCAGAACAAGCUGAUCUCCUCAACCGUUCGUGCUUCGGUCAAGCCAUGGUUACUGCUGAGAAGGAUAAGCAGUGGUUCGAGUUGAGUUUGGAGGAGGCAUUCUAUCUAAGCUAUGCUCUAAAAUGUCUAAGAAUAGUUGAAGAUAAAUGUCUGAAGAGUGAUGAACAGCUAUGGCAAUGCAUGAAGUCUAGAAGUGCAUUGUUUCCUUAUUUUUAUAAGGCCUAUUCUCAUCUUAGGAUGAAGAAUUGGGUUGUUAUGUCGGGGAUUACAUAUGGUGCAGACUUUGUUGCUUAUCGGCAUCAUCCAGAGUUGGUACAUUCUGAAUAUGCAGUGAUUGUGUGCUCGGAGGAGGAAGAAGAGGGUGGUGCAAAUGAUCGACUGAGGGUUUGGUCUGAUGUGCAUUGCGCAACUCGGCUUUGUGGAGGUGUGGCAAAGACAUUACUGGUUCUUGAGAUCAGCAGGAAUGGUCAUAGUGCAGACUCUCCAUCGUGUUUGGCGAGUUGUACUGUCAAGGAGCGCACCAUCACAAGAUGGAAUCCUGAACAAUGCCGCGAAGAUCAGACAGUAGUUGUAAGUGAAAAUGGAGCCAAGGAAGAGAAUUAGUAUGUUAUUUUGCUGCAACCAAGUCAGAGCUAUCAUUGCUAAACCUAUUAGCAAAGCAGCCGAUGAUCAAGACUGCCCCGUUCAAAGGUGUAGGCAUGAUGGUCCGCUUAUCCGGUUUCCAUUCCGUCUACAUCACUAUCCUCUUUACUGUGGCUAUCCAGAGUUCGAGGUUUCCUGCAGCAGCUUCAACAAUAUGACCAUGAUGAAGCUCUCCUCAUCAUCAGGGUUCUUUCUAAUACAAUCAAUCAAUUACGAGACACAACAGUUUCGUGUGUAUGAUGAGGACGGCUGCCUCCCCAGACGCCUUCUUAAUUUCACUGUCUCCUUCUCACUCUUCAAACCAGACAUGAGUUACGUUAACAAUGGCUGUGACUUUGAUAAUUACCAGUACCAAAACAAUUUGAGCAAUUUCACUUUGUUAAAUUGUACUGCAGCACAAGAUUUGAGUGUAAGACCAACUAUAUAUUGGAAGUACAAGGCGAUCAAAUGUCUCAGUAUCCCAGGGUAUCAAGUUUUGGCUACUAAUUUUAUUAUGUCUGGCUUGCUGCUACACAGUCCUUGCGAAACUAUGUCAGCAGUCCUUCCUGUUCAACUUAGACGUAUUGCUGAUGAUAUGUAUCGUUGUGAUCUAGACACUAUCUUAUCGCUGGAAUGGAAUUUAUGGAGUUUCCCGGAAUGUCAAAACUGUGAAGGAAGCUGCCCCUUCAAUUACAGCACAGCAUUCGAGUCUUGAAAUGUUACCCUCCCAUUCCCAGACAAAAACAUAAAGGUCUAUCAGCUAAGUUUAUUGUCCUUGCAGGGAGCGCAUGUUGUUUUGUUCUCUUCUCAACCACAGCGGUAGCCAUUUUUACCAUUUAAAGCAAUUAAAGAGGAGAGAGGAGGAGGAUAAUCAUAAAAAGAUUGAAAAGUUCCUGGAUGACCACAAGUCUCAUGUACCAACAAGA